rnacentral:lncRNA from 1 species
AGAGACAGGAGAGUGAGAGGAGCUCAAUCAGAGGGGGGGACCCUACAGAACACUGACAGCAGAUAGUCGGGGGAGGAGAGGGAGAGCAGAGAGUCCAGUGUGGGUUUCGAUGACAGACCCACCGCCAAGGGUGCUCGGUAACGCCCCGUGAAACACCGGCAAUGGGUUUAAUGGGGGCUGCAAAACACCGACAAUGAGCUCAAUCGGAGGAGAGGAGGGAGUGCAGGGGGUCCGACAUGGUUCCGACGAAUGAACCACUGCGCGUUGACCGUCAAAGGGGAAGCAAGGCCCAGCAC